GGUGAAAAGAACCCCAGGAAGGGGAGUGAAAUAGAUUCUGAAAUUCAUUGCUUACAAUUGAGUUGGAGUCCUUCGGGAUGACAACGUACCUAUUGACGAAUGGGUCAGCGAGUCAUUGUUGCCAGCAAGGUUAAGUCAGGUAUAGACGGAGCCGUAGGGAAACCGAGUCUGAAUAGGGCGAUUUAGUUGGUAGUAAUGGACCCGAAACGUUAUGAGCUAGGCAUGGGCAGGUUGAAGGCGUGCGAAAGUGCGCUGGAGGACCGAACGGGUUAGAGCUGCAAAUCUUUCCGAUGACCUGUGUCUAGGAGUGAAAAGCUCAUCGAAUAACGUAAUAGCUGGUUCUCUCCGAAAUGCAUUAGGGUGCAGCUUCCAAUCGAGAUCUCAUAGAGGUAGAGCUCUGAUAAGACUAGGGGUGUCGAGAGACAUUACCAAAUCUUGUUAAACUUCGAAUGCUGUGAGGAAUAUUGGAAAGUGAGACUGCGGGCGCAAGGUUCGUGGUCAAAAGGAUAACAGUCCAGACAUGUAAUUAAGGUCCCUAAAUUAUAGCUAAGUGGUAAAGGAGGUAUUCUUGCUUUGACAUCCAGGAGGUUUGCUUAGAAGCAGCAAUCCUUUAAAGAUAGCGUAACAGCUCACUGGACAAGCGAGGACGCGCCGAAGAUGUAACGGGGCUAAGCUAUAUACCGAAAUUCAUGGCCUACAUAGCAAUAUGUAGUGCGGUAGGAGAGUGUUCUAUCGGGAUGAAGCAUAACUGUGAGGUUAUGUGGACUAGAUAGAAGUAAAAAUGCUGACAUGAGUAACGACGCAAGGCGAAAAUCCUUGCUGCCGAAAACCUAAGAAUUCCUGCGCAACGUUCAUCGUCGCGGGGUUAGUCGAGACCUAAGGUGAUACCAGAAGUGGUACAUCGAUGGAUAACUGGUUAAUAUUCCAGUACUUGUAUAUUCAGUGAUGUGGUAACGCAUCGGGAUUUGUAAGAGCUCAUUAAGGAUUUGAGUCGAAAAAGUAAGGUUUUGAUUGUAGGAAAAUCCGCAGUCAUUACACUGAGCUUGAUCGGAAUUGCUUCCUUCGGGUUGCGAAAUUCUUAUCGUUCUGGUGCCGAGAAAAACCUCUAAACUUAUGUUUAUACAACUCGUAUUCAGAUCAGACACUUGUAGGUUGGUAGAGAAUACCAAGGCAAUCGAGAUAACUAGUGGAUAAGGAACUUGGCAAAAUAGCGGACGUACUUUCGAAAUAAGUCCUACCCUGCAGCAAUGUAGGGUUGCAACAAAUGACAUGGGGGGAACUGUUUAUCACAAACACAGCUCGCUGCUAACACGUAAGUGGAUAUAUAGCGAGUGAUGCCUGUCCAAUGCCAGAAUGUUAUGCUCUCUUGUGCAAGCUCGAGGGUUAAGCACUGGUGAAUGACGGCCGUAACUAUGACGGUCCUAAGGUAGCGAUAUUCCUUGUCAGGUAAGUUCUGACGCGCAUGAAUGGCAUAAUCAUCCCCAUACUGUCUUGUCCUUAGACUCGGUGAAAUUACAAUCCUGGUAAAAAUGCCAGGUAGUUGCAGUUAGACGGAAAGACCCUGUGAAGCUUCACUAUAGAUUGAUAUUGGCAUGUAGUAUGUGCUGCUCAGUAUAAGUGGGAGGCGUUGAGGUUUCGACUUCGGUCGGGGCGGAGCCAACAAUGAGAUACCACUCAAUAUAUAUAGCAUUUCUAACCCCUAGGUUGGGGAACAGUGUCAGUUUGGUAGUUUACCUGGGGCUGGUGCCUCCUAAAAAGUAUCGGAGGCGUGAAAAGGUUUGCUUGUCACGGAUGGAAACCGUGGUGGACGUGCAUUCGCAUAAGCAAGCUUGACUGUGAGACUGACAGGUCGAACAGAUACGAAAGUAGGCGAAAGUGAUCCGGAUCUUCCAUAUGGAAGGGGAUCCGCUCAACGGAUAAAAGUUACUCCGGGGAUAACAGGCUAAUGGUAUCUAAGCGUUCAUAGCGACGAUACCGUUUGGCACCUCGAUGUCGACUCGUCGCAUCCUGGGGCUGUAGAAG
rnacentral:rRNA from 1 species